rnacentral:rRNA from 1 species
CUACGGGCUGCUGCAGUGAGGAAUUUUGCGCAAUGGGGGGAACCCUGACGCAGCAACGCCGUGUGAGUGAAGAAGGCCUUUGGGUCGUAAAGCUCUGUCAACUGGGAAGAAGUUACUGUGCUUUAAUAGAGUGCAGUAUUGACGGUACCAGUGGAGGAAGCGUCGGCUAACUCCGUGCCAGCAGCCGCGGUAACACGGGGGACGGCAAGCGUAUUCGGAAUUAUUGGGCGUAAAGGGCGCGUAGGCGGUCUUGUCGGUCAGGUGUGAAAGCCCGGGGCUCAACCCCGGACGUGCACUUGAAACAGCAAGACUUGAGUACGGGAGAGGAAAGCGGAAUUCCUGGUGUAGAGGUGAAAUUCGUAGAUAUCAGGAGGAACACCGAUGGCGAAGGCAGCUUUCUGGACCGAAACUGACGCUGAGGCGCGAAGGCGUGGGUAGCGAACGGGAUUAGAUACCCGUGUAGUC